CCGGCCAUUAAAACUCGAGGUUCUUCGCUUGUUGAACUCGCCUCAACUUUCUGAACAAGCACCAAGAAGGACCGGACCUGAAGUGAUCGAUUUCACAUUGAACGGAGCCUCAUCGGAAAACUGGAGAAAUUCCGGCCAAACCGGACUGUUUUAGGUGUUUGACGGUUUGAUUUGGCAGACGAUUUGUGAUUCAUAUUUCGAGCUGUUAAGAAGACGCAGCGGGAUUAGAGGGGUUUUUGUGCAGGAUAGAUUAUUGAUUAAUUGUCGUCGAAGCUGAGGUG